ACCAGACUCCUACGGGAGGCAGCAGUGGGGAAUAUUGCACAAUGGGCGCAAGCCUGAUGCAGCCAUGCCGCGUGUGUGAAGAAGGCCUUCGGGUUGUAAAGCACUUUCAGCGGGGAGGAAGGCAAUAAGGUUAAUAACCUUGUUGAUUGACGUUACCCGCAGAAGAAGCACCGGCUAACUCCGUGCCAGCAGCCGCGGUAAUACGGAGGGUGCAAGCGUUGUCCGGAAUCAUUGGGCGUAAAGAGUUCGUAGGCGGUAUGUUAAGUCUGGUGUUAAAUGCAGAAGCUCAACUUCUGUUCGGCACUGGAUACUGGCAAACUAGAAUGCGGUAGAGGUAAAGGGAAUUCCUGGUGUAGCGGUGAAAUGCUUAGAUAUCAGGAGGAGCAUCGGUGGCGUAAGCGCUUUACUGGGCCGUAAUUGACGCUGAGGAACGAAAGCCAGGGUAGCAAAUGGGAUUAGAUACCCGGGUAG
rnacentral:rRNA from 1 species